rnacentral:rRNA from 1 species
UACGGAGGGUGCAAGCGUUAUCCGGAUUCACUGGGUUUAAAGGGUGCGUAGGUGGGCUGGUAAGUCCGUGGUGAAAUCUCCAAGCUUAACUUGGAAACUGCCGUGGAUACUAUUAGUCUUGAAUCUCGUGGAGGUAAGCGGAAUAUGUCAUGUAGCGGUGAAAUGCUUAGAUAUGACAUAGAACACCGAUAGCGAAGGCAGCUUGCUACACGAGUAUUGACACUGAGGCACGAAAAGCGUGGG